AACGAACGCUGGCGGCAUGCCUAACACAUGCAAGUCGAACGAGAUCUUCGGGUCUAGUGGCGCACGGGUGCGUAACGCGUGGGAAUCUGCCCUGUGGUUCGGAAUAACAGAUGGAAACGACUGCUAAUACCGGAUGAUGACGAAAGUCCAAAGAUUUAUCGCCAGAGGAUGAGCCCGCGUAGGAUUAGCUAGUUGGUGUGGUAAAGGCGAACCAAGGCGACGAUCCUUAGCUGGUCUGAGAGGAUGAUCAGCCACACUGGGACUGAGACACGGCCCAGACUCCUACGGGAGGCAGCAGUGGGGAAUAUUGGACAAUGGGCGCAAGCCUGAUCCAGCAAUGCCGCGUGAGUGAUGAAGGCCUUAGGGUUGUAAAGCUCUUUUACCCGGGAUGAUAAUGACAGUACCGGGAGAAUAAGCCCCGGCUAACUCCGUGCCAGCCGCCGCGGUAA
rnacentral:rRNA from 1 species